CCCACCCCACAACCCCUUCUCUGCUCUCCGUCUGCUUUGAAACAUUGAUGGUGUCUUCAGUUUCUCCCCAAGACAUCUUGUUUACUCUCAUGGCUUCUGCUGUUAUCGGCUGCUGCUCUCUCCCCAGCUUCACAGACCCUCUUAUCCCCUGUUUAGGGGAAAGAUGUGUUCCAUGGUCUUGAGAGGCACAAUGGGGAGUCAUGGAAAUACUACACACUGCAGCCAGGUAUGAUGGCACACACCUGUUAUCUAUCCUAGCACUCGACAGGUGGAGGCAGGAGAUUCAGGAGUUCAAGGUCAGACUUAGCUAGGUAAGCAAAUUUGAGACCAGCCUAGACUACAUGAGACACCACCUCAAGAUCCACCAUAAAAACCAACAACUCCUCCUCCCUGAAAUACAAAUUAAAAAUAAUCCAGAUCUUGUCCUAUCAUGUUCUGAUUGUGGGAUAGUGGCAUGUCACUGUUGCCUCUACAAAAUGGGGACGGUUACAUCUCCCCCACCGGGGUUUGGGUGUCAAGCCUGACAUCUCUAGUUUCAGGGGAGAGCUUAUCCUCAGAGGAAAAAGACGAUGAAUGUUUCAACCUCAGGAAAGGAAAAGGGAUUGAACUGAUAUGUCAGUGUGGGGAGAGGACCUGCAGAUGGUAAUCUCAGUUCCUCUGUGGCUCUCACGGCAGGAUCAAUCCACCUUCUCUUUCCUCAUGCCUGAGUUGGCCAGCUAUGGCAGAGGCAUGUGCCUCCUCUGCUGGAAUGAGUUCAGCUGUAGAACCUCAGAGGAGUCCCACAGAUCUCUUUUAUUUCUAUGGGUAUCGAGAUGUUGUAUUGUAAAAGCUAGAGAGGGUAUAUUUGUACAGAUUCACACGUCACUCCCGUGGACCUGUUAGAGGUCAAGACGUGGACUUGAGUGUAUUUAACUUUGCUAGUUAAUUCUGUGUAAAAAGUUGUUAUGGGAUGUCAAACUGGCUUAAACGCCAAUUAUACUAUCAGAGUGUAAGAGCUCCUAUUUUCUUCAUUCUUAUCUAUUUAGAUUAUUGUCAGAUUAAGAGACGUUAUUGGCUCUUACCCAUGUCUGGGAGAAGGGCAAUGAUAGGUACUCAUUGACUUAUUUGCUUUAACUUGAUCACCAGUUGUAUUAGCUGCCUUUUCUUCACUAUGACCAAAUUACCCAACACAGCAAUGAAAGGAGGAAAGGUUUAUUUUGGCUCCAGAAUUAGUAGGAUUUGGCCCAUCAUGGCAGGAAGGGCACAAGGCACAGAGAGGUUCAUGUCGUGGCACAUCAGGAAGCAGAGAGAGGGGAAUUCUAGUGUUACCCUUUCCCCCAUUUAUUCCCUCAGACACACGCAGAGCUGUGCCUCGCCAUCUUCUAGAUGAUUCUGCAUCCAGUCAGAUUGACAAUUAAGGCCACAUCACUGGAACAGGUUGUUUUCUGUUUAAGGAUGUUGGCUCCUCACCCCACCACGGUGAGAGGCACAGCAUCAAAGCUCUCCUCUUCACCAUGGGUAAGAGGUCAGCUCAAUACUAUGCACCUUGCUGCGCAUGCAUCUGUAGAACAUUGGUGUCCUGCCAUCCUCCAAACAUCAGCUUCCUGUUUCCUUAGCUCAGCCUCUGACAGGCAUCACAUUGCCUUCUGUUUUGAUGAAUUUGACCAUUUUCAUGCCUCAGACAAAUUCAAUCCUGCAGAGGACUGGCUAAUUUCCUUCUUUCAAGGUUCACCCAUGUUGUGGCAUCUGACAGGGUUUUCUUCUUUUAAGAAUAAUAUUCCACAUUAUUUGUGUGCUGAUUUCUAUCAUUUGUCUAUCAGUGAACAUUUCAGCUGUUUCCACUUGGUGGCUAUUAUGAGUAUCCCGAGCUUUUGUCCCCGCCGGCAAGAACACACUCAGGACAACCGGAAUCUUCUGCGGCAAAAGGCUUUAUUGCUUACUUCUUCAGGAGGAAGAGAGCGAAUGUCGAAACCCCGUCCCUUUUAUGGAGAAUUGUCCUCAGCCUCGGACGUGUCGCUCCCUGAUUGGCUGCAGCCCAUCGGCCGAGUUGUCGUCAAGGGGAAGGCAGAGCACAUGGAGUGGAAAACUACCCCGGCACAUGCGCAGAUUAUUUGUUUACUACCUAGAACACAGGAUGUCAGCGCCAUCUUGUAAUGGUGAAUGUGAGGGCGGCUCCUCACAGUUUAGUCAGCCAGCUUUUUUAUCUGACUCUGUACUUGGCCUGCUAGUACAGUUUGGAAAAUCCUUUUCAAAGGGGGAAGGUACUGGGUGGUCUUGAAUUCAUUUUGGAUAUUAUAGUAUCUGCUGAGUGCACUGUACAGCGGCUGCUGAUUCAUGUUUGUGUUUGCUACUGGACUGAGAACAAUGAAGAUUGGGAUUGUCCCAAAGAAAUAUUCAAAGAGGUCUACUUCUCCUGCAUCCUAAUAAUCUUUCUUUUCCAUUACUGGUAGGUGGUGGGCUAGAGGGGAGGUUAAAUGCUUAUUGAUGUAAGUUAUGAAAAAUAUAUGCCUACAGGGUGUUAUUCAUUCUCUCAGAUAAAUACUCAGAAGUGGGAUUAAUGGGUCUUAUGGUGGUUCUGUUUUUGUUUUCUUUUUUGAAAUAGGGUCUUUCUACAUAUUCCUAACUGUUCUAGUUUAUUUUUCCCUUUUGACAUUAAAUAAUUAAUGAAAAUAUAUUUACAUUAUUUACCUCCUUCCCUUUCUUCCUCCGAUCCUUAAAAAGUUACCCCCAAUCACUGCCCUCUCUUCCCAUCACUCCCUCUCAAACUCAUGGCUUGGUUUUUUAAAAUUAUUUUAUUUGUCUAUACAUACAUACAUACAUACAUACAUACAGAAAUGCAAUCUGCUCAGUCCAUUUAGAGUUGCUGCUGUGUACCUAUGAUUUCAGGGCUGAGCAAUUGGUAUUGCAAAACCAAUCAGGGGGCUCACCUCUGAGGGAGACUAAUUCUCUCUCUUUCGGGAGUCUUUAUCUAUGGGUGGGGCACCAUGAGAUUUCCCCUUCCAUGUAAGAGUACCCAGGAUAGCUGGUGUGCUUCUUCAGGUCCUGUCUGGACAGAUCUAUUAUUGUGCUAUCAUGGCUAAAACUUCCCUGUUGCUCCCAGACACAAUCACACAGUGGGUUUCUUGGUCCUUUGACUCUUACAAUUUAAUUUUUUUCAUAUUAUCUCCAGCACUGGUUAUUUUUUGGUUUUGCUUGUGUUUGCUUUUAAGCAUUGGCUAUCCUAGCAGGUGUGAGGUGAUAUGUCACUGUAACUUACGUCCAUCCUUCCCUGAUGACCACUAAUGUCAGCCUCUUCUGGUGUGUGCUCUGCCCAUGGACACAGCUUCUUGGUAGAGACUUUUAUUUAGGUUAUUUGCUCAUCUAAAAACUGGAUUUUAUUUUUGCUGUUGAAUUGUAGGAGGUUUCUGGAUGUAUUUUAGAUGUUAACACUUUGACCAAGUUUGCUUUCUGUUAAUGUGAUAAAACACUUUGACCAAAAGCAACUUGAGGGCUAUAUCAGUUCAGUUUCUGUUGCUGUGAUAAAACGUGGACCAGAAACAGCUUGGGAAAGAAAGGGUCUAUUUUGUUCUCAAAACUCCCAGGUCACAAUCUAUUACUGAGAGAAGCCAAGGCAGGAACCUAGAGGCUGAAACUGAAGCAGAGCCCAUGCAAGAAAGUCUGCUUUCAGGUCACAUUCAGACACUUCUACACAACUCAGGACCACCCACCUAGGGGUGGCACCACCCACUAGUCUAUUAAUCAAGCAAAUGCCGACAAGCCCACAAGACAAUCUGAUGGUGGCAAUUCCUCAACUGAGGUUUCCUCUUCCCAGGUGUCUCCAGUUUGUGACAAAUUGACACAAACUAGCCAAUACAGGGGAGGAAAGGGAGGGUUUAUUUCAACCUAUACAGUAUGGACUGCCAUUGGAGGAUCUCAAGGUAGGAACUAAAGCAGAUACCGUGGAAGAUCUCAGGUUGCUGGGUCACUCCCCGACACAUGCCUAGCUGGUUUGUCUGUAUAGCCAGCUUGCCUAUCAGCAGUGGUGCCAGCCACAAUGGGCUGAGCCUUUCCAUAUGAGUCAGACAGUCUCUCACAGACAUGGCCACAGGCCAGCCUGACUGAAGCAGUGCUUCAGACAAGAUUCCUGCUUUUUAGGUGACUUCUGUCAGGUUGACAGUAAGAACAAGCCAGCACACUCCUUGUCAGACACGUCGCUCACAACUAUUUUCUCAUUCCGUAACUUUCUGGUGUGUCAUUCACCUUGUUGGGCCUUUUAAUAAAUGGAUGCAUCCCCACUUGUCUGGAUUUGCACUUUCUGCCUGUACAUGUGGUGUCAUUUCUGAUACAUCACUGCCAAGACCAACCCGGGAAGCUCCCUUGCUGUGUUCUCUGCAAGCUUUCCCUGGAUUUCACAACCAAGUCUUCAGUCUAUUUUGAGUUAAUUUUGUAUGUGGUAUAAGAUCAAAGUAUGCAGAUAUAUAGCUUUUAAAACAACAUUUGUGGAGGAGACUAUUCUUCUCCCUGUUGUGUAGUUUCAGGGAACUUGCUGAAGAUUAGCAGGCUCUGUCAAAAGCCACCUAAUUUUUUUCUCCUUUCCUUGUGUUUAUUUCUAAUUAAAUACUUUUAUUUGUCUUCUUUCUACUACUUGUGGGGUUCAUUUAUUCUUUUGGCAAUUUGCUGCAGUAUAAUCUUGAGUUAUUUAUUUAUUUAUUGAGACAGUGUUCCAGUGUGUAAGUCACUACAUGGCCCAGGCUAGUCUCAAAUUCCCAACAUGUCUCUUACCCCAUCAACCUCUCGAGUGCUGGGAUUACAGGCUCACACAACUUUCUUCAUUCUAAAUGUAGGUAUCUGAUGCUAUGAAUUUCCUUUAUUUCUGCUAUUUCUGUGUCCCCUAAGUUUUGGUGUGUGUCUUUGGUUUUAUUUGUUUGUUUGUUUGUUUUGUUUUUAAUAGCUUGACAUGACAUCCUGGGAAGAGGAACCCCAGAUGAGAAAAUGCCUUCUUUAGAUUGACCUGUAGGCAAACUGUAAUGCAUUUUCUUGAUUCAUGAUUGGUAUGGGAGGGCCCAGCUCUCUGGGGGAUCCCUCCCCACCCUCAUAGGCAGGUGGUCCUUGGUGGUGUAAGAAAGCAGGCUGAGCAAGACACAGGGAAUACACUAGCAUGGUGCACUCCUCCAUGGUCCCUACUUCAAUUCCUGCCUCCAGGUUCCAGUCCUAACUCUCUUUCGCGAUGGAUUGCAACUGUAAGACGACAUAAACCCUUUGCUUCCUGUGUUGCCCUUUGGCCAGUGUUUCUCACAGUAGCAGAAAUAAAACUAAUAUAGUA